rnacentral:rRNA from 1 species
UACGACUACAUAUCAGGCAUAUCAAUAAGCGGAGGAAAAGAAACUAACAAGGAUUCCCUUAGUAACGGCGAGUGAAGCGGGAAGAGCUCAAAUUUGAAAUCUUCAAGGUUCUACCUUGACGAAUUGUAGUUUAAAGAAGUGUUUUCUGUUAGAUGAGUAGCAAAAGUUCCUUGGAAUGGGACAUCAUAGAGGGUGAGAAUCCCGUAUUUGGUUAUUCAUUCUAGCUUUGUGAUACACUUUCAAAGAGUCGGAUUGUUUGGGAAUGCAGUCCAAAAUGGGUGGUAAAUUUCAUCUAAAGCUAAAUAUUGGCGAGAGACCGAUAGCGAACAAGUACCGUGAGGGAAAGAUGAAAAGAACUUUGAAAAGAGAGUUAAACAGUACGUGAAAUUGUCAAAAGGGAAGCGUUUGACACCAGUGUUGUUUUUUCCGAAAAUCAAUUACGAAUGGCUUGAUUUUGUGUUGUAUUGACCUUAUCAGCUUUCUUCACUUUUUUCGAGUCUUUCUUAAUGCACUUUUCGGUUAACAAGUCAACAUCAAUUUCUUUUGUUGUAAAAGAGUAUUCGGAAGGUGGCUUUCCUUUUCGGAGAAAGUGUUUAUAGCCCUAUACUUCUACAAUCGGAGAGAUUGAGGUCUGCAGCGUAGAUCCUUCGGGGUUAGAUACAUUUGUGCUAAGUUGUAGCUUUUCAUAGACAACUUGUUGACUAUGUUUAGUCAUGCGGCUUACUCGCUUAUGCUAUUUUACCUACGCUUAGGAUGUUGAGUAGCGACAUACGCAC